CUCCAGACUCCUACGGGAGGCAGCAGUGAGGAAUAUUGGUCAAUGGGCGGGAGCCUGAACCAGCCAAGUCGCGUGAGGGAAGACGGUCCUACGGAUUGUAAACCUCUUUUGCCGGGGAGCAACGGGGUCCUUGCGAGGGCCCAAUGAGAGUACCCGGAGAAAAAGCAUCGGCUAACUCCGCGCCAGCAGCCGCGGUAAUACGGAGGAUGCGAGCGUUAUCCGGAUUUAUUGGGUUUAAAGGGUGCGUAGGCGGGCUUUUAAGUCAGCGGUAAAAAUUCGGGGCUCAACCCCGGCCGGCCGUUGAAACUGGUUUUCUAGAGUUGGAGAGAAGUAUGCGGAAUGCGCGGUGUGGCGGUGAAAUGCAUAGAUAUCGCGCAGAACUCCGAUUGCGAAGGCAGCAUGCCGGCUCCACACUGACGCUGAGGCACGAAAGCGUGGGUAUCGAACAGGAUUAGAUACCCUAGUAA
rnacentral:rRNA from 1 species